rnacentral:rRNA from 1 species
GAUGAACGCUGGCGGCGUGCCUAAUACAUGCAAGUCGAGCGAACGGACGAGAAGCUUGCUUCUCUUACGUUAGCGGCGGACGGGUGAGUAACACGUGGAUAACCUACCUAUAAGACUGGGAUAACUUCGUGAAACCGGAACUAAUACCGGCUAAUAUUUUGAACCGCAUGGUUCAAAAGUGAAAGACGGUCUUGCUGUCACUUAUAGAUGGAUCCGCGCUGCAUUAGCUAGUUGGUAAGGUAACGGCUUACCAAGGCAACGAUGCAUAGCCGACCUGAGAGGAUGAUCAGCCACACUGGAACUGAGACACGGUCCAGACUCCUACGGUAGGCAGCAGUAGGGAAUCUUGCGCAAUGGGCGAAAGCCUGACGGAGCAACGCCGCGUGAGUGAUGAAGGUCUUCGGAUCGUAAAACUCUGUUAUUAGGGAAGAACAGAUGUGUAAGUAACUGUGCACAUAUUGACGGUACCUAAUCAGAAAGCCACGGCUAACUACGUG